rnacentral:lncRNA from 1 species
UUGCCACAUGCGGGGAAGGAGGAGGAGGAAAAAUAUUUAAUGAAAACGAAAAAGAACAACCAGGUGUCUUUCUGCUUGUGCUGGGAGGCGCC